CAGUCGCCGCGGUAAUACGAAGGGGGCUAGCGUUGUUCGGAAUUACUGGGCGUAAAGCGCACGUAGGCGGACAUUUAAGUCAGGGGUGAAAUCCCGGGGCUCAACCCCGGAACUGCCUUUGAUACUGGGUGUCUAGAGUAUGGAAGAGGUGAGUGGAAUUCUGAGUGUAGAGGUGAAAUUCGUAGAUAUUUGGAGGAACACCAGUGGCGAAGGCGGCUCACUGGUCCAUUACUGACGCUGAGGUGCGAAAGCGUGGGGAGCAAACAGGAUUAGAUACCCGUGUAGUCCCUGUCUCUUAUAC
rnacentral:rRNA from 1 species